UAGGGAAUAUUAGAAAUGGACGAAAGUCUGAUCUAGCAACACCGCGUGUGCGAAGAAGGCCUUCGGGUCGUAAAGCACUUUUUGGAAGGAAUAGGAAGGAAUGUACUUCCAGAAUAAGUCUCGGCUAACUACGUGCCAGCAGCCGCGGUAACACGUAGGAGGCAAACGUUAUCCGGAUUUACUGGGCGUAAAGCGCGUGUAGGUGGUACUGUAAGUAGGGCGUGAAAGCUCCUGGGUCAACUGGGAGAGGCCGUUCUAAACUACA
rnacentral:rRNA from 1 species